UGGGGAAUAUUGGGCAAUGGGCGAAAGCCUGACCCAGCAACGCCGCGUGAAGGAAGAAGGUCUUCGGAUUGUAAACUUCUUUUAUGAGGGACGAAGGACGUGACGGUACCUCAUGAAUAAGCCACGGCUAACUACGUGCCAGCAGCCGCGGUAAUACGUAGGUGGCAAGCGUUAUCCGGAUUUACUGGGUGUAAAGGGCGCGUAGGCGGGGAUGCAAGUCGAGAUGUGAAAUCUAUGGGCUUAACUCAUAAACUGCAUUUGAAACUGUAUCUCUUGAGUGCUGGAGAGGUAGAUGGAAUUCCUUGUGUAGCGGUGAAAUGCGUAGAUAUAAGGAAGAACACCAGUGGCGAAGGCGAUCUACUGGACAGUAACUGACGCUGAGGCGCGAAAGCGUGGGGAGCAAACAGGAUUAGAUACCC
rnacentral:rRNA from 1 species